GAUUAACGUUGGCGGUGCGCUUUAUGCAUGCAAGUCGAACGGGGUUAUGUUUUUCGGACUGUAACCUAGUGGCGAACGGUUGAGUAACACGUAAAUAACCUACCUCUGAGUGGGGGAUAACCUGUCGAAAGGCAGACUAAUACCGCGUGUGGUAAUCAGGGAUUGCCUGGUUAUUAAAGCCUUAGGGCGCUCGGAGAGGGGUUUGCGUCUGAUUAGCUAGUUGGUAGGGUAAUGGCCUACCAAGGCGACGAUCAGUAGCUGGUCUGAGAGGAUGUCCAGCCAGAUGAGGACUGAGAUACGGCUUCAACUCCUAUGGGAGGCAGCAGCAAGGAAUUUUGGGCAAUGAGCGAAAGCUUGACCCAGCGACACCGCGUGAGGGAAUAAGGCCUUCGGGUUGUAAACCUCUUUUCUCGGGGAAGAAUAUUGACGGUACUCGAGGAAUAAGUCUCGGCUAACUACGUGCCAGCAGCCGCGGCAAGACGUAGGAGGCAAACGUUAUCCGGAUUUACUGGGCGUAAAGAGAGCGUAGGUGGUUCUUUAAGUCAGGUGUGAAAUCUUUUGGCUUAACCAGAAGGGGUCAUCUGAUACUGGGGGGCUUGAGGGCGGCAGAAGGAAACGGAAUUCCCGGUGUAGCGGUGAAAUGCGUUGAUACCGGGAAGAACACCAGUGGCGAAGGCGGUUUCCUAGGCUGUUUCUGACGCUGAGACUCGAAAGCGUGGGGAGCGAAGCGGAUUAGAUACCCGCGUAGUCCACGCCCUAAACGGUGGACACUAGAUAUGGGGAGUAUCGACCCUCCUCGUGUCGAAGCUAACGCUUUAAUGUCCCGCCUGGGGACUACGACCGCAAGGUAAAACUACAAAGGAAUCGAACGG
rnacentral:rRNA from 1 species